GUUGAGGUGAAUGUUGUCUGAUUCGAAAUCAUUCAACAAAUUAUAAUCAAUGAUGAAUUAUUUAAUUGAAUGAUUUCGGACCAGGCUUCAUUCCCCUCAAC
rnacentral:pre_miRNA from 1 species